rnacentral:rRNA from 1 species
GAGAUCUGUGCGCGUGCAUAUCAAUAAGCGGAGGAAAAGAAACUAACAAGGAUUCCCUUAGUAACGGCGAGUGAAGCGGGAAGAGCUCAAAUUUGAAAUCUUCAAGGUUUUACCUUGACGAAUUGUAGUUUAAAGAAGUGUUUUCUGUUGGAGUUUUGGUAAAAGUUCUCUGGAAUAGGACAUCAUAGAGGGUGAGAAUCCCGUAUUUGACCAUUAUUUCCAACCUUGUGAUACACUUUCAAAGAGUCGGAUUGUUUGGGAAUGCAGUCCAAAAUGGGUGGUAAAUUUCAUCUAAAGCUAAAUAUUGGCGAGAGACCGAUAGCGAACAAGUACCGUGAGGGAAAGAUGAAAAGAACUUUGAAAAGAGAGUUAAACAGUACGUGAAAUUGUCAAAAGGGAAGCGUUUGACACCAGUGUUGUUUUUCUCGAAAAUCAAUUAAAAAGGAUGGGAUUUUGUGUUGUAUUGACUUUAUCAGCUUUCUGCACUUUUUUCUUAUCUUUUUUAAUGCACUUUUCGUUUAACAAGUCAACAUCAAUUUCUUUUGUUGUAAAAGAGUCAUUGGAAGGUGGCUUUUUCUUCGGAAAAAGUGUUUAUAGCCUUUGGCUUCUGCAAUCGGAGAGAUUGAAGUCUGCAGCGUAGAUCCUUCGGGGUUAGAUACAUUUGUGCUGAGCUAUAGCUCUUUAUAGACAACUUGUUGACUAUAAUCAAUCCUGUAACUUACUCGCUUAUGCUAUUUUACCUACGCUUAGGAUGUUGAAGUCAUCGUAUCGCGC